CACCGCGGUUAUACGAGGAACCCAAGUUGAUGACUUCCGGCGUAAAGCGUGGUUAAGAUAUCUCAAAAAUAAAGCCAAACAUUCUCAAAGCUGUCAUACGCGAACGAGAACAUGAAGCCCAAUUACGAAAGUAGCUUUAAACCCCUGACCCCACGAAAGCUAGGACA
rnacentral:rRNA from 1 species